CCUACGGGAGGCAGCAGUGGGGAAUAUUGGGCAAUGGGCGCAAGCCUGACCCAGCAAAGCCGCGUGAAGGAAGAAGGCUUUCGGGUUGUAAACUUCUUUUGUCAGGGAAGAGUAGAAGACGGUACCUGACGAAUAAGCCACGGCUAACUACGAGCCAGCAGCCGCGGUAAUACGGAGGUGGAAAGAGUUGUCCGGAUUUACUGGGUGUAAAGGGCGUGUAGGCGGGUUGACAAGUCAGAUGGUAAAUCCUGCGGCUUAACCGCAGAACUGGAUUUGAAACUGGUGAUCUUGAGUACUGGAGAGGCAGACGGAAUUCCUAGUGUAGCGGUGAAAUGCGUAGAUAUUAGGAGGAACACCAGUGGCGAAGGCGGUCUGCUGGACAGCAACUGACGGUGAGGCGCGAAAGCGUGGGGAGCAAACAGGAUUAGAUACCCUUGUAGUC
rnacentral:rRNA from 1 species